rnacentral:misc_RNA from 1 species
CUAUGGAGUUGUUGCUGGCCUCUAGGGGCAUGUGCACGCUUCACUAGUCUUUCAACCACCUGUGAACUUUUGAUAGAUCUGUGAAGUCGUCUCUCAAGUCGUUAGACUUGGUUUGCUGGGAUGUAAACGUCUCGGUGUGACUACGCAGUCUAUUUACUUAUAACACCCCAAAUGUAUGUCUACGAAUGUCAUUUAAAGGGCCUUGUGCCUAUAAACCAUAAUACAACUUUCAACAACGGAUCUCUUGGCUCUCGCAUCGAUGAAGAACGCAGCGAAAUGCGAUAAGUAAUGUGAAUUGCAGAAUUCAGUGAAUCAUCGAAUCUUUGAACGCACCUUGCGCCCCUUGGUAUUCCGAGGGGCAUGCCUGUUUGAGUGUCAUUAAAUUCUCAAACUCACUCUGGUUUUUCCAAUUGUGAUGUUUGGAUUGUUGGGGGCUGCUGGCCUUGACAGGUCGGCUCCUCUUAAAUGCAUUAGCAGGACUUCUCAUUGCCUCUGCGCAUGAUGUGAUAAUUAUCACUCAUCAAUAGCACGCAUGAAUAGAGUCUGGCUCUCUAACCGUCCGCAAGGACAAUUUGACAAUUUGACCUCAAAUCAGGUAGGACUACCCGCUGAACUUAAGCAUAUCAAUAAGCGG